rnacentral:rRNA from 1 species
AACGAACGCUUGCGGCAUGCCUAACACAUGCAAGUCGAACGAGACCUUCGGGUCUAGUGGCGCACGGGUGCGUAACGCGUGGGAACCUGCCCUUAGGUUCGGAAUAACUCCCCGAAAGGGGUGCUAAUACCGGAUAAUGUCUUCGGACCAAAGAUUUAUCGCCUUUGGAUGGGCCCGCGUUGGAUUAGCUAGUUGGUAGGGUAAAAGCCUACCAAGGCGACGAUCCAUCGCUGGUCUGAGAGGAUGAUCAGCCAAACUGGGACUGAGACACGACCCAGACUCCUACGGGAGGCAGCAGUGGGGAAUAGUGGAAGAUGGGCGAAAGACUGAUCCAGCAAUGCCGCGUGAAUGAUGAAGGCCUUAGGGUUGUAAAGCUCUUUUACCCGGGAUGAUAAUGACAGUACCGGGACAAUAAGCCCCGGCUAACUCCGUG